GAUGAAGAACGUAGCAAAAUGCGAUAAGAAAUGUGAAUUGCAGAAUUCAGUGAAUCAUCGAAUCUUUGAACGCACAUUGCGCCCGCCAGUAUUCUGGUGGGCAUGCCUGUUCGAGCGUCAUUUCAACCCUCAAGCACAGCUUGGUGUUGGGACUCGCGUUAAUUCGCGUUCCCCAAAUUGAUUGGCGGUCACGUCGAGCUUCCAUAGCGUAGUAGUAAAACCCUCGUUACUGGUAAUCGUCGCGGCCACGCCGUUAAACCCCAACUUCUGAAUGUUGACCUCGGAUCAGGUAGGAAUACCCGCUGAACUUAAGCAUAUCAAUAAGCGGAGGA
rnacentral:misc_RNA from 1 species